rnacentral:sRNA from 1 species
AUAUAAACCCGAUUGUAGUGGCAAUACUUUUUGUUACUGUCAUCAUUGCAAAUCAGUAGAUGCUUCGACAAACUCUGCAUGAUAAAUAUAGUAGCAGUACCAACAAAAAGAUUGCAACAAAAAGCGGGACUGCAA